CUCCGAAGAAGAUGCUCGAGAGAAAAGGAAGAAUGGUCGACCGAUCCGCUCACCGCUGAUGGACAUUGAUGAGAGCAGAGAUAAGAGAAGAUUAUCGAACUAGAGUGCAGACCAGCAAGAUGAAGGAAGAGGACAACCGGUGACAGAAACUUCAACAGCCAACAAUGAUCACGUUAUGGAAUCUUUUGCUGCUGUUGCUGGUUCAGGCAUGUUCGGCCCGUACCGACGAUCCCCCCCGUAUCUUCAACAUAGGCGCCGUCCUAGGCGGUGACAGGAUCGCCAACUUCUUGCAAGCCAUUGAGGAUGUGAACGGGGAGAUGAACAUGCCAACGAAAGUCAGCCUGCAUGGAGUACCACUGCCGAUGAAUAGGAAUCCCAUCAGGACCGCGCAGAACGUGUGCGAACACCUCAUAUCAUCUCAGGUCUAUGCGGUGAUCAUCAGCCAUCCGACAGCCGGUGAACUAUCUCCCGCCGCCGUUUCGUACACCUGCGGGUUUUACAAUAUCCCAGUCAUCGGCAUCAGCUCCAGGGACUCUUCACUCUCGGACAAG